CUUUGGGGUGUGACUGCGUACCUUUUGUAUAAUGGGUCAGCGACUUAUAUUCUGUAGCAAGGUUAACCGUAUAGGGGAGCCGUAGGGAAACCGAGUCUUAACCGGGCGUUAAGUUGCAGGGUAUAGACCCGAAACCCGGUGAUCUAGCCAUGGGCAGGUUGAAGGUUGGGUAACACUAACUGGAGGACCGAACCGACUAAUGUUGAAAAAUUAGCGGAUGACCUGUGGCUGGGGGUGAAAGGCCAAUCAAACCGGGAGAUAGCUGGUUCUCCCCGAAAGCUAUUUAGGUAGCGCCUCGUGAAUUCAUCUCCGGGGGUAGAGCACUGUUUCGGCUAGGGGGCCAUCCCGGCUUACCAACCCGAUGCAAACUGCGAAUACCGGAGAAUGUUAUCACGGGAGACACACGGCGGGUGCUAACGUCCGUCGUGAAGAGGGAAACAACCCAGACCGCCAGCUAAGGUCCCAAAGUCAUGGUUAAGUGGGAAACGAUGUGGGAAGGCCCAGACAGCCAGGAUGUUGGCUUAGAAGCAGCCAUCAUUUAAAGAAAGCGUAAUAGCUCACUGGUCGAGUCGGCCUGCGCGGAAGAUGUAACGGGGCUAAACCAUGCACCGAAGCUGCGGCAGCGACACUGUGUGUUGUUGGGUAGGGGAGCGUUCUGUAAGCCUGUGAAGGUGUGUCGUGAGGCAUGCUGGAGGUAUCAGAAGUGCGAAUGCUGACAUAAGUAACGAUAAAGCGGGUGAAAAGCCCGCUCGCCGGAAGACCAAGGGUUCCUGUCCAACGUUAAUCGGGGCAGGGUGAGUCGACCCCUAAGGCGAGGCCGAAAGGCGUAGUCGAUGGGAAACGGGUUAAUAUUCCCGUACUUGGUGUUACUGCGAAGGGGGGACGGAGAAGGCUAUGUUGGCCGGGCGACGGUUGUCCCGGUUUAAGCGUGUAGGCUGGUUUUCCAGGCAAAUCCGGAAAAUCAAGGCUGAGGCGUGACGACGAGGCACUACGGUGCUGAAGCAACAAAUGCCCUGCUUCCAGGAAAAGCCUCUAAGCAUCAGGUAACACGAAAUCGUACCCCAAACCGACACAGGUGGUCAGGUAGAGAAUACCAAGGCGCUUGAGAGAACUCGGGUGAAGGAACUAGGCAAAAUGGUGCCGUAACUUCGGGAGAAGGCACGCUGACA
rnacentral:rRNA from 1 species